rnacentral:misc_RNA from 1 species
AGAAAAUACAAGUAGAAAUCAGAAAAUAAAUUACUGAGAUAAGUGUACUACUGUAAUUUAGUGGGCUCCAUAUAUAUUCCAAUAACAUAGCUCUACAUCCAUUCAUGAUUUACAAUAACAUAUCACAGUACCUAUCAACAGACGGAUAAUUCAUUCAGCACCUGUUUCCUCCACCGAUUUCUUAUACUCUGGCUUCAAUUCAUAUGUGCCUUGGUUUGUUCCUCUUUUAUUGUACACGCAAAGCUCAUUCAGUAUCUCUUUCAAAAAUUGCGCAGGUUGAUCUGUUUCUUGUACUAACUGCUUCAAAGUCCAAUUAGGUUGUCUUUCAAAAAGCUUGAACAUGAUAUCUUCCAGUUCGCCACGGUCCCUUCUAGUUCUCUUGACUUCCGGUCCCUUAACAGGAACUGCUUUCUUCUUAUCCUUAGAACUGGAUGCAAUCAUGCCAAUCAUCCCCGGCAUUGGCCUCAUAUUGACUCCACGAUCAUUGUCAAUGACCUGUAUUUGUCUGUUCUUGAUCAUUGACUUAUUUGUCCUUUCACGACACAUUUUUCGGUACUCCUCCAUGUUACGAGUGUGAGGUGUCAUAUCAAACUUAUGUUCAACCUUUCCUUCCAUGGUAACUCUUCCUUGACCUGUCUCUGAGAGCACACACAUUGGGACGAAGUCUUGGAACAUGUUCAAGGAGUAACUUUUCGGCAUAUUUCCAACGUCAUUUCCACCCAUCUCCAUAGUGAAUUGCAGAGCAGAUGAGUCAUCGGAACGAAGAGGAUCAACAGAGACAAUAACUUUAGCAACUUGGGGGGAAUCUGAGGAGGAAGAUGAAGCUGCGGCUUGAGACUGCCAUGAUUUGGAGACAACUAAAGGACACUUCAUUAACCACACUGAUCUGUCCCAUUUUGUUGUAUCCACUGUUAUACUACUGUUGCUGUUUCCAUGAUCUUCCUCCAUCUUCGUCGGCUGUUUCGAUCGAUUUUGAUUCUGGUCUCCUCCGAUUACCACGGUGCCAAUGUCUGAAUUCUUGAAAGAGGACUCAAGUGGACUGAUA